ACUUUUAUUCUUCUUUUUAUUCUUUUUAUUCUUCUUCUUCUUCUUCU
rnacentral:ribozyme from 12 species